GGCCUACCAAGGCGACGACGGGUAGCUGGUCUGAGAGGACGAUCAGCCACACUGGGACUGAGACACGGCCCAGACUCCUACGGGAGGCAGCAGUGGGGAAUAUUGCGCAAUGGGCGAAAGCCUGACGCAGCAACGCCGCGUGAGGGAUGACGGCCUUCGGGUUGUAAACCUCUUUCGAGCAGGGACGAUAAUGACGGUACCUGCAGAAGAAGCUCCGGCCAACUACGUGCCAGCAGCCGCGGUAAUACGUAGGGAGCGAGCGUUGUCCGGAUUCAUUGGGCGUAAAGAGCUCGUAGGCGGCUUGAUAAGUCGGAUGUGAAACCUCCAGGCUCAACCUGGAGUCGCCAUCCGAUACUGUCAUGGCUAGAGUCCGGUAGGGGCCCACGGAACUCCUGGUGUAGCGGUGAAAUGCGCAGAUAUCAGGAAGAACACCGGUGGCGAAGGCGGUGGGCUGGGCCGGUACUGACGCUGAGGAGCGAAAGCGUGGGGAGCGAACAGGAUUAGAUACCCUGGUAGUCCACGCCGUAAACGUUGGGCACUAGGUGUGGGACCUUAUCAACGGGUUCCGUGCCGUAGCUAACGC
rnacentral:rRNA from 1 species